GGAUUAGAUACCCUGGUAGUCCACGCCGUAAACGAUGAGAACUAGAUGUCGGGAGGAAUUGCCUUUCGGUGUCGCAGCUAACGCGUUAAGUUCUCCGCCUGGGGAGUACGCCGGCAACGGUAAAACUCAAAGGAGUUGACGGGGACCCGCACAAGCGGUGGAGCAUGUGGUUUAAUUCGAUGCAACGCGAAGAACCUUACCUGCCCUUGACAUCCUCGGAACUUGUCAGAGAUGACUUGGUGCCUUCGGGAACCGAGUGACAGGUGCUGCAUGGCUGUCGUCAGCUCGUGCUG
rnacentral:rRNA from 1 species